UCUAUUAUGGCAGAAUAGUGCAUUGAAUUUAAACUUCAAAUAUAAAAAAAUAUUUUUUUUUAGAA
rnacentral:tRNA from 1 species